UACAAAUGAAGCAUUAUCUACUUAAAUAUGCAUACAUUUCCAAAACUGAAAUCUGAAUAUUGGAUAAAGCCAGAUUCAAAUUUCUGGUUUGAUUUUGUUGAUAUUUUAUUUUAUUUAGUUUUAGUUUUAUCACUCCAUAAAUCAGAAAAUACUGCCAAUAAGCAAACAGAAAUACAUUCUCACCAUGUUUUUAGGAAUGAAAUGAUGUAUAGAAUCAGGUGACUUAUAUAAACAAAGCCCUCAGUAAAAACCUUCAGAAUUCAGACUGGAAUAAAACUCUAAAGUCUGAUGUAUGAAAGCGCUGCCGAGGUGGAGAACAACAACAACUGAAAUCUACAGACACAAACACAUAAAGAGCAAUAAAAUAAACACAUAUUUUCCCCGUCUAUUCUGAAUGUUAUGGAAGUGAAACAGAUCACAAUCUGCAUGAAAAGUAAUGGUUUAGUCUGUAGUGUCCUGCUUUAAAAGAGGGGUUCAGCUGAUUUUUUUCCAAAUAAAGAUGGCCUAAAAACAGAGCGAAAGAGGCGCUGAAUGCAGAGAAAGUAAAAAAACAGAACAAAGGGUUCAGAGGAUCAUGAAAAGAGAGAGAAAUUCAUUAAAAGAGAAAAACGCAAAGAUAAAAACUUGCUGAAUCCGAAAGACUUCCAUCCCGAGGGAAGCAGGACAAAUGAACACACAAAUCUGAACGAGAGCGAAUCACACGACACAGCGCUUAUUUCUUCAUUGAUUUGUUUUACAUACAUUACAUACAUACAUACUAUACAUAGAUACAUAAUUAACAUUUAUAAAAUCCUCCCCAAAGUCUUUUAGCAUCCAGUUUAAAUGGCAUGCCAAGUUUGAGUACUGAUUCAGUACACACACACACACACACACACACACACACACACACACACACUUUAACAACACCAACACACCGGUGCCCACAUACCUGCAUGCGCGCACACACACACUCACUCAGAUAGCACACGUGUACACGGAUAUGCAUACAUGCGCUCACACACACUCACUCCGAUAGUGCACACGUGUACACGGCUAUGCAUACAUGUACUCACACACACACACACACACACACACUCAGAUAGCACACGUGUACACAGAUAUGCAUAGAUGCGCUCACUCACACACACACACACACACACACACACACUCAUAUAGCACACGUGUGUACACGGCUAUGCAUACAUGUACUCACACACACACGGCUGAGGAUAACACUGCUGAAUCAAGCCAUGAAAGGAAAACGUCUUCAUUCACAAUGCAUCUGAAACAUGACAAGCCUUCACGACCAAACCAGCAACUGAAAGAGUCCAACGAAAGAUUAAAGAUGCGACGAAGCAGAAACACCUUCUUCCCGCUCAUAUCGAACCACGUGAAGAGAGAAAAGAUGAGGGUAUAGGACACAUAAACUGAAACAAUGACUUAUAAAAAUAGAUUUAUAUAUAUAUAUAUCUGCGUGGGUGACAUUUCCAGCCCAAAGAAAAAGACGACAAAAACGAGGGCAGAGAUGUGCUGUGAAUGAAAAAAAA